rnacentral:rRNA from 1 species
GUCCAUGGCCAUGCUACAGUGAACACACCUGAUCUUGUCUGGUCUCAGAAGCUAAGCAGGGUCAGGCCUGGUUAGUACUUGGAUGGGAGACCAGGUGCUGUAGGUG